rnacentral:lncRNA from 1 species
UUUUUUGUCACACUGUGAUGUAAAAAAAGUUAACAGGGAUAAGUUAACUUGGUACGGAAGUAUUCUUUAAUGUCUUAGAAGAUUCUAAGAAAAAAAAAAAUUGGAGUUCCCGUUGUGGCUCAGUGUUUAACGAAUCCGACUAGGAACCAUGAGCCACGAUGGGAACUCCUAAAAUUGUCACUUUUCAAUUAGUUGUUUUCAUGUCAUAAAUCGCAAUCAUAAAAUGUUUUGUAUAAGAGGAUUAGUUCCCAUUUUUAGAAACUGUGCCAUUGUAUUAAGUUUGAGUUAAAAAGAAACAAAAAAUACUUCGUGGGAGUAAUCUGUAAUAAUGAUUGAAAAAAACUGUAGUUUCCAAAAUUUCUACAAUCAGAAAAAAGACAAUUAACCUAAUUUUAAAAAUGGGCAAAAUACUUACAUAGGAUGAUCAAUAAACACAUAAAAAAUGCUCAACAUCAACAGAGAAAUGCAAAUCAAAACACAAUGAAAUACUAUUUCAUACCCUCUAGGAUGGCUAGAAUCAAAAAGUUUAAAACUGCUGGAAAGGAUGAAAAAACAAUCAGAUUCCUGAUACACUGCCAGUGGGAAUGUAGAAAGGUAUAAUCAUUUAGGAAAACAGCCAGGCAGUUCAUUAAACAAAGUGUUACCAUAUGACCCAGAAAAAAUAUGUGCAUGCAAAAAAUAUGUACACAAUUGUUUAUAGCAUUAUUCAUAAUAGUCAGAAGAUGGAAGCAACCUACAUGUCUAUCAAUGGACAAAUGUAUAAACAUUACAUGGUAUAACCAUACAAAAGAAUAUUAUUCAGCCAUCCAAGGGAAUGUAGCAUGUAGAAUAACAUGCUACAACCUGGAUGAAUCUUGAAAACAUUAAAUGAAAGAUGCCAAUCACAAAAGACCACAUAUUACAGUGAUUCCAUUCAUAUGAAAGUCCAGAAUAAGGAAAUCUAGAGACAGAAAGUGGAUUAGUGAUUGCUUAGGGCUGGGGGUGGGAUGGAGGAUAAAGGAAUGAUGACUAAAGGGCACAGAAUGUCUUUGUUGAAGUGAUGACAAUAUUCUAAAAUUAACUGGUGAUGGCUGCACAUAUCUGAAUAUACUAAAAACCACUAAACUGUACACUUGAAAUGAGUGAAUUAGAUCUCAGUAAAGCUUUCUUUUUUUUUUAAGAACCUUCCUCUAAACAAUAUGCAAAUAUUCUAAACUCAAAGGACUAAAACUCCUGAUGAAACUUUAUUAAUCAAGUAUCAGAUUGGCAAAUUUUUUUUGCUUUUUUUUGGUCUUUUUUUUUUUGCCAUUUCUUGGGCCGCUCCCACGGCAUAUGGAGGUUCCCCGGCUAGGGGUCUAAUUGGAGCUGUAGCCACUGGCCUACACCAGAACCAGAGCAACACAGGAUCCAAGCCGCGUCUGUGACCUACACCACAGCUCAUGGCAACGCUGGAUCGUUAACCCACUGAGCAAGGGCAGGGAUCGAACCCGCAACCUCAUGGUUCCUAGUAGGAUUCGUUAACCACUGCACCACGAUGGGAACUCCCAGAUUGGCAAAUAUUAAAAUGUCUGCUGGAGUUCCCAUCGUGGCACAGCAGAAACGAAUCCGACUAGGAACCAUGAGAUUGCAGGUUUGAUCCGGGCCUCGCUCAGUGGGUUAAGGAACUGGCAUUGCUGUGGGCUGUGGUGUACGUUGCAGAUGCGGCUCAGAUCCUGAGCUGCUGUGGCUGUGGCGUAGGCCGUUAGCUGUAGCUCCGAUCUGACCCCUAGCUGGGACCUUCCAUAUGUCGUGGAUGCGGCCCUGAAAAGCAAAAAAUAAUAAUAAUAGUAAUAAUAAAUGUUUACUAUUACACAGUGCUGUAGAGACUGGAAAACAGGCAUCUCUUACUGCCAUUGUGAGUAAGCUAGUAUAAUAUUCUUGGAGGAAAGUUUACCAAUAGUGAUCACCAAUUAAAAUACAUGCACCAUUUGACUCAACAAUUACACCACUAGAAAAGAGUACCACAUGUGCCCUAGCAGAGGUAUACCAGCACAAAACAGGAAGGAUGCUCACUGCAGCACUGCUUAAACCAGUAGAGACUGCAAAUAACCUAAAUAUCCACGAAUGAGUGGAGGAGUUAUGCUGUGUCUGUACAAUGGAAUACUACGCAGCCAUGAGGAAGGAUGGGGUAUAAGUGAGACCAGCUGAGUAAAGAACAGUGGGCUUUAGCAGUAUCCGUUUAUGU